rnacentral:misc_RNA from 1 species
UCCUGAUUUUCCCAUCGUUCGGGGCAUUCUGGGGCUGUUUUGGCUAUUGGUUGCUUGUUUGGUCUUGAUUUGAACGGGUGGCUUCUAGCCUGGUGGCUUCGGGGAUGUUGACCGUAAAGGUGGAUGAGUGGUUUUUGGUUUGUUACGUGUGGUUGGCUGCGGCGUUUGCAACAACUUCCAUGCUUUCAGACCUCUUCAUUUGUGCGGCAAGGCUUGUAUCGCCUAGAGCGUAUUGUGGGUUUUCUGUGUUGAAUACCUAAUCAAUGGUAUCGGUUGGAUUGAUCAAUGUUUCAUUUCGUCUGUCGUCGCACUCGCGGCGUGAGAUGAACCUUGAUGUGGUCUCUUUGUUCCACCUCGUUGAAGCGCAUGCUUUGACGUUGUGGCGCAUUGAGCAUUGCUUGGUCUCUUGUAUGCGGAACAUGUAGCGGGCAUGAAUCUCAUGAUUCUCGUUUGCCCUMAUAUUAGCGUAACGCUUCUCUUACACGACUUGCUCCACGUUUUAGCUCGUA